CCUACGGGGGGCAGCAGUGGGGAAUAUUGGACAAUGGGCGAAAGCCUGAUCCAGCCAUGCCGCGUGUGUGAAGAAGGUCUUAGGAUCGUAAAGCACUUUAAGUUGGGAGGAAGGGUUGUAGAUUAAUACUCUGCAAUUUUGACGUUACCGACAGAAUAAGCACCGGCUAACUCUGUGCCAGCAGCCGCGGUAAUACAGAGGGUGCAAGCGUUAAUCGGAAUUACUGGGCGUAAAGCGCGCGUAGGUGGUUCGUUAAGUUGGAUGUGAAAUCCCCGGGCUCAACCUGGGAACUGCAUUCAAAACUGUCGAGCUAGAGUAUGGUAGAGGGUGGUGGAAUUUCCUGUGUAGCGGUGAAAUGCGUAGAUAUAGGAAGGAACACCAGUGGCGAAGGCGACCACCUGGACUGAUACUGACACUGAGGUGCGAAAGCGUGGGGAGCAAACAGGAUUAGAUACCCGGGUAGUC
rnacentral:rRNA from 1 species